rnacentral:rRNA from 1 species
GACGAGCGCUGGCGGCGUGCUUAACACAUGCAAGUCGUACGGUGAGGCCCUUUCGGGGGUACACGAGUGGCGAACGGGUGAGUAACACGUGAGUAACCUGCCCACAACUUUGGGAUAACGCUAGGAAACUGGUGCUAAUACUGGAUAUGUGCUCCUGCUGCAUGGUGGGGGUUGGAAAGCUCCGGCGGUUGUGGAUGGACUCGCGGCCUAUCAGCUUGUUGGUGGGGUAGUGGCCUACCAAGGCGGCGACGGGUAGCCGGCCUGAGAGGGUGACCGGCCACAUUGGGACUGAGAUACGGCCCAGACUCCUACGGGAGGCAGCAGUGGGGAAUAUUGCACAAUGGGCGCAAGCCUGAUGCAGCAACGCCGCGUGCGGGAUGACGGCCUUCGGGUUGUAAACCGCUUUCAGCAGGGACGAAGCUUUUUGUGACGGUACCUGCAGAAGAAGCACCGGCUAACUACGUG